AGCUCAAAUUUAAAAUCUGGCGGCUUCGCCGUCCGAGUUGUAAUUUAGAGAAGUGCUAUCCGCGCUGGACCGUGUACAAGUCUCCUGGAAUGGAGCGUCAUAGAGGGUGAGAAUCCCGUCUUUGACACGGACUACCAGGGCAUUGUGAUACGCUCUCGAAGAGUCGAGUUGUUUGGGAAUGCAGCUCAAAAUGGGUGGUAAAUUCCAUCUAAAGCUAAAUAUUGGGGAGAGACCGAUAGCGAACAAGUACCGUGAGGGAAAGAUGAAAAGAACUUUGGAAAGAGAGUUAAACAGUACGUGAAAUUGCUGAAAGGGAAACGCUUGAAGUCAGUCGCGUCGUUCAGGAUUCAGCCUUGCUUUUGCUUGGUGCACUUCCUGUUCGAUGGGUCAGCAUCAGUUUUGGCCGGUGGAUAAAGGCUCAGAGAAUGUGGCAUCUUCGGAUGUGUUAUAGCUCUGGGUCACAUACAUCGGCUGGGACUGAGGAACUCAGCACGCCGCAAGGCCGGGUUUCGACCACGUUCGUGCUUAGGAUGCUGGCAUAAUGGCUUUAAUCGACCCGUCUUGAAACACGGACCAAGGAGUCUAACAUGCCUGCGAGUGUUUGGGUGGAAAACCCGAGCGCGUAAUGAAAGUGAAAGUUGAGAUCCCUGUCGUGGGGAGCAUCGACGCCCGGAGCAGACCUUUUGUGACGCAUCCGCGGUAGAGCAUGUAUGUUGGGACCCGAAAGAUGGUGAACUAUGCCUGAAUAGGGUGAAGC
rnacentral:rRNA from 1 species